CUGGGGGCUGCACCGCCACGGCCCCGCUGCGGCGCCCGGGAGCCAGCCGGGACCGUGGCUGGGAGAUGCCCRCGGCCCCCGGGUUAUUUUUGCCCGUGGUGGCAGUUCCCUGCCGCGCUUCGCCUGACGCUGGCAGUGCCGCCGAAUCCCGAAUCCUCGUUCAGGGGCUGCCGCUGCUGCAAACUGCCUGCUGGCCCUUGCCGCUGCCCCGCGGCCCUGCUGACGCUGCCAGCCGUGGCUCCCGGGGCGCUCCUGGGCCGGCGCCAGGCGGAGGGGAGCCCGCUCGUCCCACGUCCUGGGGGCUGGCGCCGCUCCUGCGUCUCCCUAUCGGCUGGGUAAACCCAUACGCAUCGACUCGCAGGCAAUGCAAAGCUGCUCGCCGGCGCAAGAGAAGCUCCGAUGAGCCUUUUUCUUCACCCUGGGAAGCUGUGGCUACAGCCCCGCGCGGGGGGCCAAGCAACCCGAAAUUUGUUUCUGGCGCAGGCGCUGGCCUCGCCGUUACGGCACCUGCCUUGGUUUCCCCUUGCCCCGGGACGAGGUGGGACUUUCCGCCCCGGGCUCGGCCUCCCCUCGAGCGCCCGGGCGGGCUUCCUGCGGCCGAGCCUGGCCCGACGUCGCACCUGCAAAGCAAGGCAGGGCCGGUCCUGACACCCGGCCACCGAGCGGGGGCCGGAGAGGAGAGCCGCGGCAUGGACCGCACUGCGCCCCGCUCGGCGCCCGGCCGCCGCGGCUCCUCGCCCCGGAGCCUCCCGGCUGCGAUGCCGCCCGCGCCCGUCUGCAAAGCGCGGGAUUUGCUGCGAUCUGAGCGCUCUGCUGGCCGGGUCGGCAUGCGAAGGGCUCUCGAGCCCCCGCCGGCAGAGCGCUCCAAAGCCCAGAGGAGAGGGGGAGGCUCGUGGAAACAGCUCCGAGGACUGCCGGGCCACAAGCUAAAAAACCCCCGUGGUUUGUGAAAGGAAGGGGCGCUCGCUCUGACAAAGCCUCGUGGAAGGGCAGGUGAUAGCGGCAGGUAGCACGACAGAUAAAGACACCCGCAGCAGCUGUAAAUGCCCGCAGAUUACAGAUGCCCCCAAGAGAUUGUAAAUGUCUUGAGGAGAUUAUAAACUCUUCUAAAAUUGCUGUUAAAACCUAUUAUAAAAACAGAUUAUGAGAGUAAACUGUGCUCGAGAGCAGCCGAGUCCCUGGAAGAGCUGCGGCUGAUGGGG
rnacentral:lncRNA from 1 species